rnacentral:rRNA from 1 species
CGCGGCCUAUCAGCUUGUUGGUGAGGUAACGGCUCACCAAGGCAUCGACGGGUAGCUGGUCUGAGAGGACGAUCAGCCACACUGGGACUGAGACACGGCCCAGACUCCUACGGGAGGCAGCAGUAGGGAAUCUUGCGCAAUGGGCGAAAGCCUGACGCAGCAACGCCGCGUGGGGGAUGAAUGCCUUCGGGUUGUAAACCCCUUUCAGCAGGGACGAAAAUGACGGUACCUGCAGAAGAAGCUCCGGCCAACUACGUGCCAGCAGCCGCGGUAAUACGUAGGGAGCGAGCGUUGUCCGGAAUUAUUGGGCGUAAAGAGCUCGUAGGCGGUUCAGUAAGUCGGGUGUGAAAACUCAAGGCUCAACCUUGAGACGCCAUCUGAUACUGCAGUGACUAGAGUCCGGUAGAGGAAGAUGGAAUUCCUGGUGUAGCGGUGGAAUGCGCAGAUAUCAGGAGGAACACCAAUGGCGAAGGCAGUCUUCUGGGCCGGUACUGACGCUGAGGAGCGAAAGCAUGGGGAGCAAACAGGAUUAGAUACCCUGGUAGUCCAUGCUGUAAACGUUGGGCACUAGGUGUGGGGUCUUCUAACGGAUUCCGUGCCGUAGCUAACGCAUUAAGUGCCCCGCCUGGGGAGUACGG